rnacentral:rRNA from 1 species
CAAUAGCGUAUAUUAAAGUUGUUGCAGUUAAAGAGCUCGUAGUUGGAUUUGUGGCGUACGGUGGGUUCCGGGCACUUGUUGUCUGAGUAACUUGCUGUUGCCAUCCUUGGGUGGAACCUGUGUGGCAUUAGGUUGUCGUGCAGGGGAUGCCCAUCAUUUACUGUGAAAAAAUUAGAGUGUUCAAAGCAGGCUUAUGCCGUUGAAUAUAUUAGCAUGGAAUAAUGAGAUAGGACUUUUUUGCUAUUUUGUUGGUUUGCGCAAAGAGGUAAUGAUUAAUAGGGACAGUUGGGGGUAUUCGUAUUCCAUUGUCAGAGGUGAAAUUCUUGGAUUUUUGGAAGACGAACUACUGCGAAAGCAUUUACCAAGGAUGUUUUCAUUAA